GUCCCUAUCGUCUAGAGGCCUAGGACACGACCCUUUCACGGUCGGUACCGGGGUGCGAAUCCCCGUGGGGACGCCA
rnacentral:tRNA from 1 species